GAAGGGGGCUUCAGUUUCCCUUGUCCUUCCCUCUCCAACAGUCCAAGAGAGGAAUACGCUUCUGGCUAAUCUUGACCUGAAAAUUAGGAAAUUAAUUUUUUCAGACCAGACCAGACCAGCAGUCUUCUAUAUUUAUCAGCAUUUCCAGUGAUGAUAUCUACUAUACUGGACUAAUGUGAAAAUAUAGGAAUAAGUGAAUAAGAGAAGUAAGGAAGAGACUGUUCUGAAGAAGAGGAAUCUCGAAAGGAUGAACUCACAUGUAGAAGUCUAUAUUGCACAUGUCUGACAGCAUGAAACAACCUCCCCCACGCCACGGAGGUGAUGUCAAAGGCAAUGUUCAUUCUUGAUGUAGCUCCAUCAUUUGCUUUCUCUAUGCAUAGUUCAUUCUGCUGUAUAUUCCCUGCCUCUAAGAAAGGACAUCUACCCAAGUAGGGUUUAACUCAUUGAAUAUAUCUGUAUAUAACUUUUUAGUAAACAUUAUAUUGCUAGGUGCAAAAUAUAAUGUGAUACUAACUUCUGAGAGAUUGGAGCACCCGUUGCCAUUGAACUUCGAUAGCUGUCCUUAGUGAAACCUGUUUAUUUUAUUUAAGGAGAGUCAAACAGAAACAGGUAGUCAUCAUCUCUGUAGCAUUAGGCAUUGCUUAGACAAAUCAGCCUGUGAGGCCUGCACCAUGCACUUAACAA